GACGAACGCUGGCGGCGUGCUUAACACAUGCAAGUCGAACGGAAAGGCCCUGCUUUUGUGGGGUGCUCGAGUGGCGAACGGGUGUGUAACACGUGAGUAACCUGCCCUUGACUUUGGGAUAACUUCAGUAAACUGGGGCUAAUACCGGAUAGGAGCUCCUGCUGCAUGGUGGGGGUUGGAAAGUUUCGGCGGUUGGGGAUGGACUCGCGGCUUAUCAGCCUGUUGGUGGGGUAGUGACUUAACAAGGCUUUGACGGGUAGCCGGCCUGUGAGGGUGAGAGGCAACAUGGAGACUAAGGUACGGCCAAGAUUAGUAAGGGAGGCAGAAGUGGGGAAUAUUGCACAAGGGGCGGAAGCGUGAUGCAGCAACGCCGAGUGCGGGAUGACGGACUUCGGGUUGUAAACCGCUUGCGCAUGUGACGAAGCGUGAGUGACGGUAAUGGGUAAAGAAGCACCGGAUAACUACGUG
rnacentral:rRNA from 1 species